rnacentral:rRNA from 1 species
AGAGUUUGAUCAUGGCUCAGGAUGAACGCUGGCGGUAUGCCUUACACAUGCAAGUCGUACGAGAGUUUUUAACUCAAGUGGCGGACGGGUGAGUAACACGUAAGAAUUUACCUUUAGGAGGGGGAUAACAACUGGAAACGGUUGCUAAUACCCCAUAUGCUUUCGAGUGAAAUGGAUUUUCCGCCUAAAGAGAAGCUUGCGGCUGAUUAGCUUGUUGGUAGGGUAAUGGCCUACCAAGGCGACGAUCAGUAUCUGGUUUGAGAGGACGAUCAGACACACUGGAACUGAGACACGGUCCAGACUCCUACGGGAGGCAGCAGUGGGGAAUUUUCCGCAAUGGGCGAAAGCCUGACGGAGCAAUACCGCGUGAGGGAUGACGGCCUAUGGGUUGUAAACCUCUUUUUUCAGGGAGGAAUCAAAUGACGUGUACCUGAAGAAUAAGCAUCGGCUAACUCCGUGCCAGCAGCCGCGGUAAUUC